AUUGAACGCUGGCGGCAGGCUUAACACAUGCAAGUCGAGCGGAGCGAGGGUGCUUGCACCUUAGCUCAGCGGCGGACGGGUGAGUAAUGCUUAGGAAUCUGCCUAUUAGUGGGGGACAACAUUCCGAAAGGAAUGCUAAUACCGCAUACGCCCUACGGGGGAAAGCAGGGGAUCUUCGGACCUUGCGCUAAUAGAUGAGCCUAAGUCGGAUUAGCUAGUUGGUGGGGUAAAGGCCUACCAAGGCGACGAUCUGUAGCGGGUCUGAGAGGAUGAUCCGCCACACUGGGACUGAGACACCGCCCAGACUCCUACGGGAGGCAGCAGUGGGGAAUAUUGGACAAUGGGCGGAAGCCUGAUCCAGCCAUGCCGCGUGUGUGAAGAAGGCCUUUUGGUUGUAAAGCACUUUAAGCGAGGAGGAGGCUCUUGAGGUUAAUACCCUUGAUGAGUGGACGUUACUCGCAGAAUAAGCACCGGCCAACUCUGUGCCAGCCGCCGCAGUAA
rnacentral:rRNA from 1 species